rnacentral:rRNA from 1 species
UAGCUCCUACGGGAGGCAGCAGUGGGGGAUAUUGCACAAUGGGGGAAACCCUGAUGCAGCGACGCCGCGUGGGUGAAGAAGCGCCUCGGCGCGUAAAGCCCUGUCAGCAGGGAAGAAAAUGACGGUACCUGUAUAAGCAGCCCCGGCUAACUCCGUGCCAGCAGCCGCGGUAAUACGGAGGGGGCGAGCGUUGUUCGGAGUGACUGGGCGUAAAGAGCACGUAGGCGGUGUUGUAAGUCAUUAGUCA